AACGAACGCUGGCGGCAGGCUUAACACAUGCAAGUCGAACGGAUCCUUCGGGAUUAGUGGCAGACGGGUGAGUAACGCGUGGGAACGUACCCUUUGCUACGGAAUAACUCAGGGAAACUUGAGCUAAUACCGUAUGUGCCCUACGGGGGAAAGAUUUAUCGGCAAAGGAUCGGCCCGCGUUGGAUUAGCUAGUUGGUGGGGUAAUGGCCUACCAAGGCGACGAUCCAUAGCUGGUCUGAGAGGAUGAUCAGCCACACUUGGACUGAGACACGGCCCAGACUCCUACGGGAGGCAGCAGUGGGUAAUAUUGGACAAUGGGCGCAAGCCUGAUCCAGCCAUGCCGCGUGAGUGAUGAAGGUCUUAGGAUUGUAAAGCGCUUUCACCGGUGAAGAUAAUGACGGUAGCCGGAGAAGAAGCCCCGGCUAACUUCGUG
rnacentral:rRNA from 1 species